ensembl:lncRNA
CCUUGUAAACCAACAAAGACAGUGCAGAGCAUCCUCCAUUUUGUAUCCUUGCGGAGGCCAUUUCAGGUUUAACCAGAGUUUCAUCUACUUGAUGGAGAAUCAUUGCCUUUCCUGCUGACUGAUGCUCGAGAAACUUCAACAUGCCUGACAGCCCCACACUGCCAACAGACGUCUUCCCAAAGACAUCUCAAACAGCAAACAAGGGCUGGAACGGUGGCUCAGUGGUUAAGAGCAUUUGCUGCCCUUGUAGAGGACCUGGGUUUGGUUUCCAGUGCUCAUCUGAUGGCUCGCAACAAUUCACAAUCCCAGCUUCAGGGGAUCGAAUGCUCUCUUCUGGCCUCCGUGGGCAUCAGAAACACACAUGCUGGACAUAGAUGCAUGUAGCUCAAACAGUCAU